rnacentral:rRNA from 1 species
UGCGUAGGCGGUCGGGAAAGUUUGAUGUGAAAGCUCCGAGCUCAACUUGGAAAUUGCAUUGAAAACUAUCCGACUAGAGGAUUGUAAGGGAGACUGGAAUUCUCGGUGUAGCAGUGAAAUGCGUAGAUAUCGAGAGGAACACCAGUGGCGAAGGCGAGUCUCUGGACAAUUCCUGACGCUGAGGCACGAAAGCUAGGGGAGCAAACA